UACGGGGGGGGCGAGCGUUGUUCGGAAUUACUGGGCGUAAAGGGUUUGUAGGUGGCCUGCUAAGUCAGACGUGAAAUCCCUCAGCUUAACUGGGGAACUGCGUCUGAUACUGGCGGGCUUGAGGACAGGAGAGGAACGCGGAAUUCCAGGUGUAGCGGUGGAAUGCGCAGAUAUCAGGAGGAACACCAACGGCGAAGGCAGCCCGCUGGGACGGUACUGACGCUAAGGCGCGAAAGCGUGGGGAGCGAACAGG
rnacentral:rRNA from 1 species